rnacentral:lncRNA from 1 species
AACAAUCGAAUUAUUGUACACAAAAUUACAAAAAAAAUAAUUUUCUUUUUUCUUAUUUUUUAUUCUAAAACUCCUACGCCCCACCUAACUACUCACUCAAUUGAAUUAGUCGGGUUGUAUCUCACUUUGAAGCUGCAACACCGAAGACAACCGGAGGACCGUCGCCGGUAACGACCGGAACACCACCGGAAAUCUACUUGAACAUCGUUGAAACGAUCGGAGAAUCAUCGGAACAUUGCCUCUUCACUUCCUUGCUUCGCCUCCGAACAUUAGCUUGUCGGAAAAGACCUAUGUCUAUCUUUGCUAUUCCUAAACCACCUCCUUCUGCCUCUCCUCUUCCUAAACUGCCUCCUUGAACCGCCUCCUUGGAAUCAGCUAGAAAAUCACCUUAUAAGAAACUACCUUAGUGGAAACUACAUCUUUCUCGUCUCGUCUUUGAUCUCGUUUUCACCAGCCACUAGAUCUGGUUUAACCAGAUCCAGAAAUAAAGUAGAAAGCCACCAGAUCUGGUUUCCGAUCUAGUUUUACUGUUCACCGCGUCGCGACAUUAUCUUGAAGAGCCUCUGGAUGAAAUCAAAUCUUAACUCACAUACACAAACAUAUCCAAAAAAAGACGAUGAUAAGGAAAAAGGUAAACCAGAUUUUGAACUUAUUUUUCUUUAACUUAUAAGUAACCUGCAGUGAGAUCUAUUGAAUAAUCAAAUAGGUUUUCUUAAUUCUUUCAAAUAGAUUUAUGUUGACAAACGAUGCAAGUCUAGUUGGAGGUUAACCAAGUUAAUCCUAGUUUCACAUUCGUUAUUCCUAGACUUAUAAUCUCGAUGGUCAUCAAAAUCAUAAGACACGAGCAAUCAAGCAGAUGUUCAUACAACUUAAUUUACUUGACAAUUAACAGCAAAUAAUUAUCAUUAACACGUAAGGAUCUUUUAACAAGCUUGGCAAGAUAAAUUAAACAUAAACAAACAAUUCAAUAUAACAAUUAGUCCAAUAAUCAAGGUUUCAUUCAAUCAUAAACAAAAGUAAAAGGUUUUUACACCUAAAUCAGAAACUAAACACAUAAUAGUAUCACAAUGGAAUGCUAAACAUGGUCAUGUUAACAACCCAUAUGAUUACCGACAUGUAUCCGCUCUGUAACCCUUUGAUCUUCGCUCCCGUUAGCUUACCGGCCUUCCGGCCGCCUUCUAGACCCUUAAAACGGCUUAACAGAAGUUAAUAAUCGACUAAAUUAGGUUAGAAGUCGAAUCCCCCCCUCUGGUUAGCUGUUAAUCGCCUUUUAUAACCCUUGUAACCGACUUACGUACGCUGGGCCUAAGUCGGAUUACGCUGGGCGUAGUGAAGAUUAAUACGUGAUGAGGAAAUCUGAAUGCAAGCAGUUACGCGGGGCGUACAUAUCGUUUACGUUGGGCGUAACGCGUAUUUGUCUGUUACGCUUAGCGUACUAGUUACUUACGCGGGGCGUAAACGGCUCCUUCAGUCUUUUUCCUUUCUUUUAGCCUCUAAGCCCAAUUUCCGCUUCAGUCUUUUCUUUUGUGCUCUAUUGACAACAAAUAGCUGCAAAUCAUAAUUCAAAGCAUUAUAAGUACUUUUUAGUUCUAAAAGAGAAUAAUAAAGGCCAAAAUAUUAAGAUAUAAUGCAUAAAAAUAUAUAUAAAAAUACACAUAUCAAAAUACCCUACACUUAGCCUUUGCUUGACCCCAAACAAAUUUACUUUUAUUUUACCAAUAUCGUACUAAACAAUCCAUUUAAAACUCAGCCAUUAUGUCAAGACCGCAACGCAUGCAUUUGUGUCUAAAAUUUUCCUAAAGUACCCCCCAUACUUUAAAUACUCACAAUCUUCAUAAACACUCGCCCACUUCUUUCGAACAAUGCUCAUUUUAUGCAACCCUCCGAAUCCAUCCUCAGAAAACCUUUUAACCUCAAGGUAUUUUUGGUUGAGCAACCCAAGCAUACAUAAUCUAGAAUUACAACUUAUGAUACCACUAUGGAGCUUUUUUAAAUUCUUCACUUUCUUGAUAAUUUGAUAUUUGAUUUCUUUGAAUUCAUCACCUUGUUUGAUUUGAUUUCUGGUAUCUUCAACUUUUUGAAUUCAAAACUUUGAUCUUUUGAUCUUCACUUUAUUUGCUCCAAAAUUCUUCAAACUUUUCUUGCAAUUCUCUCUCUCUCUCUCUCUCUCUCUCUACAUGUACCUCAAUUUUUUCACUCAAAACCUAUAUGCUUAAGCAGGGGAGCUCAACUUCAACCUUUAUUGGUUAAUGAUAAUAAUUUUCCUGGAUACAUUUCAGGUUUAGGCUGCUAAACAUAUUGCAUCCCUCAAACCAAGAGGGGUUAUGUUUUUGUUCCAUGAUUUCACUAAAAUAAGGGAGGCCAUAAAUGCACUAUAACGUGUAUUGGCUCAACUAAACAUUUGAGUUUUCAUCGGAUCAUCUCAUACAAUAUUAGCAAAAAAUUUAAACUAUCACUAGAUUUUUCUAAAUUAAACUAUUAUUUCAAGUUUUUAAAUUUUCAAAUUUCCUAAAUCUAGCAAUUUCCAAACUAUUAUUUCAUUUUUUUUUUCAUUAUUUACUUCUACCGACCCCCUACCUCACACUUAUUUCAUACAAUGUCCUCAUUGUAUGCAUAAAACUAAUUAAGCACAUAAAACGGGAGAAAAAGGAACAGACUCCCCUGGGGUAGUUAUGGCGAGAUCGAAUGGGGCUGCUACAAGUUGCUUCAAAUAUUGCUAAAAAACUGAAAACUAGAAUUGGUGCUUCUGAAUUUGCCGAUAAAAUCAAGACUGCCGACUUUGAAAAUGUGGUGCAAAAGAUUGCACACAAAUGCAAUGUGUAAUAACCAUGACGUGGGAAAAUGUCGAACACGUCGUCUCGUCAAGAAUGACAUCCUUUUCUCGCGAUGAAAACUCCCCCACAACAUAGGAAAGUGUCAACCAUGCCGUGGCAGCCGGGAUGAUACUUCUUCCUCGCGUCGAAAUAAAACUCUAUGGUGUGGGAACAGCUCAUCUAUAUCAUAAGAGUCAAAAUAUCGUAUAAAUGUCAAUCUUCUAAACAAUCGCUCACGAAAUCAAUAUGCACCCCACACUUAUGACAAAUUGUGGGUCUUGACUAUAAUCUUUGAACUCUCACACGGCUCUCUCUAGCAACAGUCGGACCUAGCUGUUGAACUUACUUCCAGCUUUCUAUGGGCGAAAAUUCUGCAGAGAUCUAAACAACCAAAGAGCAUCAACAUGGAAAACAAAAGUAAAACACCCUAAAUUAAACUUAAUUACACACCAAAUCAAAAUACUAAUACUAAGCAACAAAAAAAACUAAAAAAAAUAUCACAAAAAUAAAAAGGAUAACUAAAUCACUCAUCAUCUCCAUCAUCAUGCUGCUGUGUCCCAGAAGUACCGGCCCCAUCAUGUCGUGGCUGGAAUGGUGGUGGAAAAGGAACCGAGUACUGAAACCCCUAGUGGGCAAAGACUGUGGUCAACACAUCCCCACACCACUGCUGUUGUCUCUCCACGUGUGCAACGUACUCACCAAGGUUCUGAACCCCCAAGUCAAUACGGUCAAUGCGUUGAGCUAAGUAACGCAUAUCAAUCUCCGGCUCAGGUCUCUGUUGCGCUCCCCGAGGAGCAGGUCUACGCCGCUGGACCCGUCUCAGCUGUGACUCGACGGCACCCUCCUCGUCUGCCACGUCAUCUGGUCGUACCCGCAAGACACCAUCUCCGCCCCGCUCAAGUACACGCAUCGACUCCAAUAACUGAAGGCUCAUCGGCCUCAUAUCAUGCAACACCAUCGAUCUCGUGAUCUCACACGUCAACAACUGAUAUGAUCGAGCUAAUCGCGUGAUAAAAUGCCCUCCACAAAUCGGGGUAUCCUCCCGAAGUCCCCUGGCCUUCCUACCCAAAUACGCGGCUAAAGCAACUGGAAGGUUCAGGUGCCUCCCUGGAGUAACAAGUGCCCAUAAAAAAUACAAGUCUGUCGAAGGCACUCUCUCACUAUUCUUAUGGUGCGUGAGAGACAUGGAAAUCAAACGGUGCAGCAGUCUGUAUGUAGUAGACCGAAUCAUCCUCCCCUGUGCAGUAGAUGGCGUGUAUACUCCCCCUGUAAUCUCGGCACAAAAAGUGUUUUCAUUAUAGUCCUCUGGCUGGUUCGUGAGACAAUCAGCAAGGAAUNCGUCUCGUCUACUAUAUAUAUCCCCACUCGAGUGGCAAGCUCUAUGACACUGCACUCCCGACUCACACCCCCCCAGUCUGAAGGCAAAGGUUGUCCUAUCAUCGGGUGUCUUCCUAGGGUCAUAGGAAACUGUAGCAUAAAACUCCAGCAAAAAUUCCCGAUAAACAGGCUCCUGGAUCCGGAAUAAUCGUGCCCAUCCCUGACAUACGAACAAAUGCACUCCACUCGCGUCCGAGUGCGUGUAUUGCAAAAAAUCCUGACUCAACGCAGCAAGUCCAGUCUGGGUCGCCAAUUCCCAGUCAAAUGAAGGUGCUAUGUCAAUCUCCUUAGUGAGCAGCAGACUCAGAUUGGUGACAUAUCGUGCCUGGGUUGCAUCGUUCAGAGUUUGCGGAAAUUGUAAGAAACGGUGAUCGGUCACCUCCUCGGGUGGGUUGGUCCUUUGAGUUCUUCGGGCCAUAAUCUGCACAAAUAAACACCAACACAAAACCAAAAAAUAUCAAAGCAUUAACAAUUUUUAAACCAAAAUAAUGGUUUUGGACUUGGUCUGUACGCUGGGCGUACAUCCAGCAUACGCGGGGCGUACGUCCAGAUUUACUAAUCUGUGUCGGUGUCCCCUGCUUGUUCUAAGGCCAUAAACAGUCAAUAUAUAUUUACACGAGAAUGAUGAAGGGUAGUCAAAAUAUGGGCAAACUACUUAGGCAUACGUCGAACGAAAUCGUAUAUGAACCAUAUCACUCUUUCAACAGCCUUAUACCAAGAACUGUGCAGGGCAGUCCGUCAAUGGAAGGUUUUCGCUAGGCGCAAACCCGUAAAGACGAAUCGAUGGCUAUUGCUUGGAAUUAAUGCUAAUUAGGUCCUAGGGUUUAGUCCAUUGGUCCGAAUCAGUGUAUUAAGACAUAAUCAAACACCAAAUUUGUAUGAAAUCGACCCUAAUGGACGAAGGGUAUAAACUCUAGAUUUCGCUUUAUCCUCAAUACCUCUAUUUCCAUGAAAAUAAUCCCAAAUCAAAGCAAUAGGGUAUUUGAAUAACAUACCUUUGUGUCGAAUUCUACAAGAAAAGAAGAAGAAUCGGAGAUUUCGUGGGAUACGCGAUCGUCUCAGUGCGGCGAAGUAGAAAGGAAUUGAAAGAAUAACAAAAAAAAGGCAAAGGUAAAAUGAUAUAACCUGUUGCCGAUUUACGCUAGGCGUAACCCCAACUCUGAGAAAAAGCCAUCCGCGAUCAAUGGUUCAUUACACUUGGCGUAAAUACACUUACGUUGGGCGUAAUUGAACUGAAAUAUUUCCUUUUCCUUAUUUGAAAUUCCUUUGUUUUAACUAAUUAAUUUGGGGACUUAUAAUUAUUAUUAAUUAAAUUUUUUUUUCUUUUAAUUGCUUCAACAACAGCCAUGACUUCCCGAUGAGUGACAUUUAAAAAAAAAAAAUGAGACGUCAUGAUCACUUGUCUUUGUCGAGAUCAAACAACAACGGUUGAUCAAAACCUUUGCACGCAAGAAUUGGUUUGCGAAAACAACCACUUUCGGGACCCGUUCGAAUAUUUCCUUUGUUUUCUUCGCACCUUUAACUAAAAGUAGAACAAGAGGUGACCUAACUAGUCAAGAACAGCAAGAGCUCGGUCUUCCACUUAACCACCACAAUAUGUCUUGCUAUACUACGCCUCAUGGAUUGAGUUGGACAAAUCAACAAAGUAGUAGGCUAAGCAGGUCAAGAAUUCUCUAAUCGCUUGUAUUCUCGAAACCCAUGAAAAAGGUAAAGUCAAACAAUGUAUACGAUCCCAAAUUCCUACAAAUAACAACAAGAACCUUCCCGACAAGUGAAAUGAUAUCAACGAAAAUCAAACUAAAAAUAAAAACUAAAUAAAAACAAAUAACUAAUAAUCAAAUAAACUAAAUUAAUGACAAGUCGUUCCCCGGCAACGACGCCAAAAACUUGAUGUGCACGAAAGUACCCACUAAUUUUAUUAUUUAUAACCUAACAAACUUAGACUAACUAUGCACUUAUAGGCAGUGUACCUAAUCAGAAUACAAUAUAGCUUAGGUAAGUCGGGUGUCGAUCACAGGGAACGGUGGUGAGUUAUUUUAAAAUAUUUGAUUAUAGGUUAGAAGUCACACGAAAAAAAUAAAGAAGUAGUUUAAUAAAUCUCAAACGAACAAUUAAUUGACAACUCUCGAUAAACUAACAGGAAAACAAAUCUCUUAAGGUACUUUGGUUUAGAUAAAUUACACCUUAAAAGCAUAUACAAUUGCAUACACCAAUUCAUUUAUUCAUGUUCACCGAUUCCUAAAAUAAUUAGAUUCGCGUUCACUAUAACUAAUCCUUUACCAAACAAGUCAAUUCAAACAGUGAUCAGUUGAUUAAACUAACAUGCUUCCUAGUGUUUAGUUCGUAUUAAGCAAGACUUGUAAAUAUAGUUAAUCAAAUUGGUCGUUCAAUUAACCACUUGUUGAUGGUCAUCAAACAAGGCUCACACAUUAACUUACUUAUUCCCAAGUUAAUCCUAUUUUCACAUUCGUUAUUCCUAUACUUAUAAUCUCGAUGGUCAUCAAAAUCAUAAGACACAAGCAAUCAAGCAGAUGUUCAUACAACUUAAUUUACUUGACAAUUAACAGCAAAUAAUUAUCAUUAACACGUAAGGAUCUUUUAACAAGCUUGGCAAGAUAAAUUAAACAUAAACAAACAAUUCAAUAUAACAAUUAGUCCAAUAAUCAAGGUUUCAUUCAAUCAUAAACAAAAGUAAAAGGUUUCUACACCUAAAUCGGAAACUAAACACAUAAUAGUAUCAUAAUGGAAUGCUAAACACGGUCACGUUAACAACCCAUAUGAUUACCGACAUGUAUCCGCUCUCCAACCCUUCGAUCUUCGCUCCCAUUAGCUUAACGGCCUUCCGGCUGCCUUCUAGACCCUCAAAACGGCUUAACAGAAGUUAAUUAUCGACUAAAUUAGGUUAGAAGUCGAAUCCCCCCCAAAACGGCUUAACAGAAGUUAAUUAUUGUCUUUUGGCGCCGUUGUUGGGGAACGACUUGUCAUUAAUUUAGUUUAUUUGAUUAUUCGUUAUUUAGUUUUUAUUUUUAGUUUGAUUUUCGUUGAUAUCAUUUCACUUGUCGGGAAGGUUCUUGUUGUUAUUUGCAGGAAUUUGGGAUCGUAUACAUUGUUUGACUUUACCUUUUUCAUGGGUUUCGAGAAUACAAGCGAUUAGAGAAUUCUUGACCUGCUUAGCCUACUACUUUGUUGAUUUGUCCAACUCAAUCCAUGAGGCAUAGUAUAGCAAGACGUAUUGUGGUGGUUAAGUGGAAGACCGAGCUCUUGCUGUUCUUGACUAGUUAGGUCACUUCUUGUUCUACUUUUAGUUAAAGGUGCGAAGAAAACAAAGGAAAUAUUCUAACGGGUCCCGAAAGUGGUUGUUUUCGCAAACCAAUUCUUGCGUGCAAAGGUUUUGAUCAACCGUUGUUGUUUGAUCUCGACAAAGACAAGUGAUCAUGACGUCUCAUUUUUUUUUUUUAAAUGUCACUCAUCGGGAAGUCAUGGCUGUUGUUGAAGCAAUUAAAAGAAAAAAAAAUUUAAUUAAUAAUAAUUAUAAGUCCCCAAAUUAAUUAGUUAAAAGAAAGGAAUUUCAAAUAAGGAAAAGGAAAUAUUUCAGUUCAAUUACGCCCAACGUAAGUGUAUUUACGCCAAGUGUAAUGAACCAUUGAUCGCGGAUGGCUUUUUUGCGGAGUUGGGGUUACGCCCAACGUAACUUCGCUUUACGCCCAGCGUAAAUCGGCACAGGUUAUAUGAUUUUACCUUAGCCUUUUUUUGUUAUUCUUUCAAUUCCUUUCUACUUCGCCGCACUGAGACGAUCGCGUAUCCCACGAAAUCUCCGAUUCUUCUUCUUUUCUUGUAGAAUUCGACACAAAGGUAUGUUAUUCAAAUACCCUAUUGCUUUGAUUUUGGAUUAUUUUCAUGGAAAUAGAGGUAUUGAGGAUAAAUCUAGGGUUUAUACCCUUCGUCCAUUAGGGUCGAUUUCAUACAAAUUUGAUGUUUGAUUAUGUCUUAAUACACUGAUUCGGACCAAUGGACUAAACCCUAGGACCUAAUUUAGCAUUAAUUCCAAGCAAUAGCCAUCGAUUCGUCUUUAGGGGUUUGCGCCUAGCGAAAACCUUCCAUUGACGGACUGCCCUGCACAGUUCUUGGUAUAAGGCUGUUGAAAGAGUGAUAUGGUUCAGAUACGAUUUCGUUCGACGUAUGCCUAAGUAGUUUGCCCAUAUUUUGACUACCCUUCAUCAUUCUUGUGUAAAUAUAUAUUGACUGUUUAUGGCCUUAGAACAAGCAGGGGACACCGACACAGAUUAGUAAAUCUGGACGUACGCCCAGCAUACAGACCAAGUCCAGAACCAUUAUUUUGGUUUAAAAGUUGUUAAUGCUUUGAUAUUUUUUGGUUUUGUGUUGGUGUUUAUUUGUGCAGAUUAUGGCCCGAAGAACUCAAAGGACCAACCCACCCGAGGACGUGACCGAUCACCGUUUCUUACAAUUUCCACAAACUCUGAACGAUGCAACCCGGGCACGAUAUGUCACCAAUCUGAGUCUGCUGCUCACUAAGGAGAUCGACAUAGCACCUUCAUUUAACUGGGAAUUGGCGACCCAGACUGGACUUGCUGCGUUGAGUCAGGAUUUUUUGCAAUACACGCACUCGGACGCGAGUGGAGUGCAUUUGUUCGUAUGUCAGGGAUGGGCAUGAUUGUUCAGGAUCCAGGAGCCUGUUUAUCGGGAAUUUUUGCUGGAGUUUUAUGCUACAGUUUCCUAUGACCCUAGGAAGACACCCGAUGAUAGGACAGUCUUUGCCUUCAGACUGAGGGGUGUGAGUCGGGAGUGUAGUGUCAUAGAGCUUGCCACUCGAGUGGGGAUAUAUACAGCAGACGAGACGAGGAGUGUCCACUUCCCGACAUUCCUUGUUGAUUGUCUCACGGACCAGCCAGAGGACUAUAAUGAAAACACUUUUUGGGCCAAGAUUACAGGGGGAGUAUACACGCCAUCUACUGCACGGGGGAGGAUGAUUCGGUCUACUACAUACAGACUGCUGCAUCGUUUGAUUUCCAUGUCUCUCACGCACCAUAAGAACAGUGAGAGAGUGCUUUCGACAGACUUUUAUUUUUUAUGGGCACUUAUUACUCCAGGGAGGCACCUGAACCUUCCAGUUGCUUUAGCCGUGUAUUUGGGUAGGAGGGCCAAGGGACUUCGGGAGGAUAGCCCGAUUUGCGGAGGGCAUUUUAUCACGCGAUUAGCUCGAUCAUAUCAGUUGUUGACGCGGGAGAUCACGAGAUCGAUGGUGUUGCAUGAUAUGAGGCCGAUGAGCCUUCAGUUAUUGGAGUCGAUGCGUGUACUUGAGCGGGGCGGAGAUGGUGUCUUGCGGGUACGACCAGAUGACGUGGCGGACGAGGAGGAUGUCAUCGAGUCACAACUGAGACGGGUCCAGUGGCGUAGACCUGCUCCUCGGGGAGCGCAACAGGGACCUGAGCCGAAGAUUGAUAUGCGUUACUUAGCUCAGCGCAUUGACCGUAUUGACUUGGGGGUUCAGAACCUUGGUGAGUACGUUGCACACGUGGAGAGACAACAGCAGUGGUGUGGGGAUGCGUUGACCGCAUUCUUUGCCCACCAGGGGUUUCAGUACUCGGUUCCUUUUCCACCACCAUUCCAGCCACGACAUGAUGGGGUCGGUACUUCUGGGACACAAUAGCAUGAUGACGGAGAUGAUGAGUGAUUUAGUUAUCCUUUUUAUUUUUGUGUUAUUUUUUUUAGUUUUUUUUUGCUGCUUAGUAUUAGUAUCUUUAUUUGGUGUGUAAUUAAGUUUAAUUUAGGGUGUUUUACUUUUGUUUUCCAUGUUGAUGCUCUUUGGUUGUUUAGAUCUCUACAGAAUUUUCGCCCUUAGAAAGCUGGCAGUAAGUUCAGCAGCUAGGUCCGACUGUUGCUAGAGAGAGCCGUCUGAGAGUUCGAAGAUUAUAGUCAAGACCAACAAUUUGUCAUAAGUGUGGGGUGCAUAUUGAUUUCGUGAGCGAUUGUUUAGAAGAUUGGCAUUUUUACGAUAUUUUGACUCUUAUGAUACGGAUGAGUUGUUCCCACACCAUAGGGUUUUAUUUCGACGCGAGGAAGAAGUAUCAUCCCGGCUGCCACGACAUGGUUGACACUUUCCUAUGUUGUGGGGGAGUUUUCAUCGCGAGCAAAGGAUGUCAUUCUUGACGAGACGACGUGGUCGACAUUUUCCCACGUCAUGGUUAUUACACAUUGCAUUUGUUUGCAAUCUUUUGCACCACAUUUUCAAAGUCGGCAGUCUUGAUUUUAUCGGCAAAUUCAGCAGCAGUUCCAGUUUUCAGUUUUUCAGCAAUAUUUGAAGCAACUUGUAGCAGCCCCAUUCGAUCUCACCACAACUACCCUAGGGGAGUCUGUUCCUUUUUCUCCCUUUUUAUGUGUUUAAUUAGUUUUAUGCAUACAAUGAGGACAUUGUAUGAAAUAAGUGUGGGGUAGAGGGUCGGUAAAAGUAAAUAAUGAAAAAAAAUGAAAUAAUAGUUUGGAAAUUGCUAGAUUUCGGAAAUUUGAAAAUUUAAAAACUUGAAAUAAUAGUUUAAUUUAGAAAAAUCUAGUGAUAGUUUAAAAUUUUUGCUAAUAUUGCAUGAGAUGAUCCGAUGAGAAUUCAAAUGUUUAGUUGAGCCGAUACACGUUAUAGUGCAUUUGUGGCCUCCCUUAUUUUAGUGAAAUCAUGGAACAAAAACAUAACUCCGCUUGGUUUGAGGGAUGCAAUAUGUUUAGCAGCCUAAACCUGAAAUGUAUCCAGGAAAAUUAUUAUCAUUAACCAAUAAAGGUUGAAGUUGAGCGCCCCUGCUUAAGCAUGUAGGUUUUGAGUGAAAAAAGUGAGGUACGUGUAAAAAAAAGAAAAAAAAGAGAGAAUUGCAAGAAAAGUUUGAAGAAUUUUGGAGCAAAUAAAGUGAAGAUCAAAAGAUCAAAGUUCUGAAUUCAAAAAGUUGAAGAUACCAGAAAUCAAAUCAAACAAGGUGGUGAAUUCAAAGAAAUCAAAGAUCAAAUUAUCAAGAAAGUGAAGAGUUCAAAAAAGCUCCAUAGUGGUAUCAUAAGUUGUAAUUCUAGAUUAUGUAUGCUUGGGUUGCUCAACCAAAAAUACCUUGAGGUUAAGAGGUUUUCUGAGCAUGGAUUCAGAGGGUUGCAUAAAAUGAGCAUUGUUNCGAAAGAAGUGGGCGAGUGUUUAUGAAGAUUGUGAGUAUUUAAAGUAUGGGGGGUACUUUAGGAAAAUUUUAGACACAAAUGCAUGCGUUGCGGUCUUGACAUAAUGGCUGAGUUUUAAAUGGAUUGUUUAGUACGAUAUUGGUAAAAUAAAAGUAAAUUUGUUUGGGGUCAAGCAAAGGCUAAGUGUAGGGUAUUUUGAUAUGUGUAUUUUUAUAUAUAUUUUUAUGCAUUAUAUCUUAAUAUUUUGGCCUUUAUUAUUCUCUUUUAGAACUAAAAAGUACUUAUAAUGCUUUGAAUUAUGAUUUGCAGCUAUUUGUUGUCAAUAGAGCACAAAAGAAAAGACUGAAGCGGAAAUUGGGCUUAGAGGCUAAAAGAAAGGAAAAAGACUGAAGGAGCCGUUUACGCCCCGCGUAAUUAACUAGUAUGCUAAGCGUAACAGCCAAAUACGCGUUACGCCCAGCGUAAACUAUAUGUACGCCCCGCGUAACUGCUUGCAUUCAGAUUUCCUCAUCGCGUAUUAAUCUUCACUACGCCCAGCGUAAUCCGACUUACGCCCAGCAUAUGUAAGUCGGUUACAAGGGUUAUAAAAGGCGAUUAACAGCUAACCAGAGGGGGGAUUCGACUUCUAACCUAAUUUA